rnacentral:rRNA from 1 species
GACGAACGCUGGCGGCGUGCUUAACACAUGCAAGUCGAACGAAGUGGCGAACGGGUGAGUAACGCGUAAUCAACCUGCCCUUCAGAGGGGGACAACAGUUGGAAACGACUGCUACUACCGCAUACUGAAGGAGGGGAAUGCGUGUGAUUCGCUAGUGGGGGGGGAAACGGCCAACCAGGGCGACGAUCCGUAACGGGUCUGAGAUGAGGAUCAGCAACACUGGAACUGAGACACGGUCCAGACUCCUACGGGAGGCAGCAGUGGGGAAUAUUGGACAAUGGGCGAAAGCCUGAUCCAGCCAUGCCGCGUGUGUGAAGAAGGUCUUCGGAUUGUAAAGCACUUUAAGUUGGGAGGCGUUACCAACAGAAUAAGCACCGGCUAACUUCGUGCCAGCAGCCGCGGUAAUUC